GAUGAACGCUAGCGGCAGGCCUAACACAUGCAAGUCGAACGGCAGCGGGAAGGAGCUUGCUCCUUUGCCGGCGAGUGGCGCACGGGUGCGUAACGCGUAUACAACCUACCUUAUACAGGGGUAUAGCCCAGGGAAACUUGGAUUAACACCCCAUAGUAAUAUGUUUUGGCAUCAUUACAUAUUUAAAACUACGGUGGUAUAAGAUGGGUAUGCGUCCCAUUAGCUUGUUGGUGUGGUAACGGCACACCAAGGCAACGAUGGGUAGGGGCCCUGAGAGGGGGAUCCCCCACACUGGUACUGAGACACGGACCAGACUCCUACGGGAGGCAGCAGUGAGGAAUAUUGGACAAUGGGCGGGAGCCUGAUCCAGCCAUGCCGCGUGCAGGAAGACUGCCCUAUGGGUUGUAAACUGCUUUUAUACGGGAAGAAACCCACCUACGUGUAGGUGGCUGACGGUACCGUAAGAAUAAGGACCGGCUAACUCCGUGC
rnacentral:rRNA from 1 species